CUCUGGGAUCCUCCUUGCCCCUUUGGUGACCAAGGAUGACCAGGCUUCCCUGUCAGCCUCCUCAGCCCUCAGGUAAUGGGACAUAGGAGUCAGAGAACUUGAGGGCUUAUGGUCCCCAGGCCAAUUGCAGUUCCCACCUUUCUCCAAUGUCAGAGCUCAUGAAAAGAGCUGUGUGGCAAAAAGGAGCUGAGUUGAUGGAAGAGCGACUAGAUUGGUCAGGUAGGAUGGGUUAGACUCCUGGAGAGUCAUCAGCUAUGUAAGUGGAGUAAAGCCUUGGCAGGCUCCAUAAUGCUUCCAGUUCCAAACUGUGUGUUUGUAAACAAGCCCUCUGCUCCUUCAGUGCAACCAUGUUGCCACACUCUUAUGAACCUCAUAGGGCAUGUAACAAGGACUUUGAGGCUACUUUUGCUAAACAUAUUGACUUUUCUCUUGGGCCUGCAAAUGUAAAAUACCUAGUAACUCUGUCUCCAUUUUGCAUUUGACUCCUUUACUCUGAGUCACCUCAGAUGGCAAGAACAACAGGUCUCAUUGACAAACACUUUGGGAUGAGUCAAAACUACCCCCAGGUAACUUUCUUAUCACUUCAGAUGACCAAUCCUGAGACAAUGAUCAACCAGACACAAUUUGAUCAAGACUGGUUACUACACAUAUUUCUGGUUCCCCCCUCUCCCAACCCUUGUCUAUACUAUCUGAAAGUUCUUGUCUGUAACCCCAAAGAAAGGACUAGAAAUGCUGGUCCCCUUUGUCUUCCCAGGAUGGUCAUACCUAUUAAAGUUACUUUUCUGCUUUCCACAUUACUUUUUUUUUUUAAACUGAGUCUCCAGAUAAAUACCCAUAAGUCAUUGGAAUGCAGAACAUAUUACUUGUGAGCAACCCAGCCUGUGUCCUUGUGCCCACAUCCCUGACAGCAGCUUGCCAACUAGCUGAUAGAAAAGCAACAAAACCACAAAAUUACCACAAGAAAUCCUGAGGAAACACUCCUUUAAAGAACAUGCACAUUGAAGCCUUUGGAGACCUAGAAAUGACCCCAGCCUCAUUAUAAAUAGUAAGACCCACAUUCUUGGGUAGAAAUUUAAGAUGCUAAUGAGACAUGAAAUGUAGAAAGUAGCAUGAUUAGAAUAUGCCAGGGCAAUGUGCAAGGAAAACUGGCAUGAAAUUGCAUAACCCCACCCUGACUCCAUCUGCAAGCUACUCUCCC
rnacentral:lncRNA from 1 species